rnacentral:lncRNA from 1 species
GGUAGUGCAAUAAAAGAACUUAACUUAUAAUAAAUCAGAAGUAACUUCUAUAAUAUUAUUUGAGAAGUCAAUUUCCUACGUGUCGCGUUCACGUUAACUCUCACAGUAGUUGAUUUACAAUGAUAUUCUUAAUGAAUUGAUUAAUUAUAAUUAUAAUUGUCAUUAUUGAUGUUUUUUUUAAUAAUAUUGUCAAUUUCCUUAUUUUAAGUAUUUUCCCUUUUUCCUUAUUUGUUUUUGAUUUUUCAAUCUUAGUAUUUUUUAUUUAUUUUUC